UGAUGAGCAUAAGGAAUGGUGAUGAUUGAUUGAUUUUUUUUUUUUUCAAAUGAUCCAAAAAUUAUAAUCCUUAUUCGCUACGUUCUUUCUGAUUCAUUC
rnacentral:snoRNA from 1 species